GGGCCGGAGGACCCGGCGCUGGGGCGACUAGGAGCUGGGGCUGCAGAAGGGCUGGGUGACCCUGGAAGAGAUGCUUUGGGGAGAUGAAGAAACUGCAGGCACACUCUCAAAGCAAGAGGCCUGGGUGAAACACCUUGAUUAGAAUCCUGAAAAAAAAAAAAGAAGAAGCUGGCCUCUCAGGUGUCCGGAAACAUCCUGGCCGCUUUUUCUAAAUCCUAAUUAUAAAAUUUUCCGGGGCAGAACUGUGACUAAAUCACCUUGGAUCAGAUUCCUGACCCUCCACUAGUCAAGUGAAUGGUGGACAAAGUCAAACACUGGGAUAGUUCCUGAUGGAACCAUGUAGAUGACGGUGUGGAGAAGGGAACGGUUCUCAAAAGGAGAGGCUGAGUGGACUAAAUCCUCCGUGUUCACUCUACUUUGAUUCCCCUCUCUGUAAAAUAUUACCCAUUUUGUAUGCUAAGCCUAUUUUACCCACUUAGGGUUUCAAUGGAAAUAGAAAUAAGCUUCUCACCACCUUCUAAUUAAUAUCUGUUGUAAUGACUUCUGUAUUCUGUUAAUAAAGCUAGGAG